GCUGUGGAUAGGGGUGAAAGGCUAAACAAAUCCGGAAAUAGCUGGUUCUCCCCGAAAACUAUUUAGGUAGUGCGUCGUACGGACACUUGCGGGGGUAGAGCACUGUAAUCGUUGGGGGGGUCAUUGCGAUCUACCCCGCGAUAGCAAACUCCGAAUACCGCAAAGUGAUAUACGGCAGACAGACAUCGGGUGCUAACGUCCGGUGUCAAGAGGGAAACAACCCAGACCGCCAGCUAAGGUCCCAAAUGCAUGGCUAAGUGGCAAAACGAGGUGGGAAGGCAUAGACAGCUAGGAGGUUGGCUUAGAAGCAGCCAUCCUUUAAAGAAAGCGUAAUAGCUCACUAGUCGAGUCGUCCUGCGCGGAAGAUGUAACGGGGCUCAAGCCAUGAACCGAAGCUGCGGAUGUGUCUUUGACACGUGGUAGGGGAGCGUUCCGUAAGCCUGCGAAGGUGUCUCGUAAGGGAUGCUGGAGGUAUCGGAAGUGCGAAUGCUGACAUGAGUAGCGAUAAAGGGUGUAGAAAAGCACCUCGACCG
rnacentral:rRNA from 1 species